rnacentral:lncRNA from 1 species
CAUCAAGGGAGCUUCCAAAUAUACUUAUCACCGUAAAUCGUGUAUGUUCAUCAUACAUCGUGUAAUCAGUUUUUUGUCAGGUACUGUUUGUAUUUAAUUUUAAUUAAAAAUAUUUAAAAUAAUUUCUGAUCGCACGAUGUACAACGAACGGAUAUGAUUCACGAAUCCUCAGAAUCCUCACAAAGAGGAUCUAACGAGGAUCCGGAUUCCCUACAACAUAGGAUGAUAAGUACAAUUAACUUAUGGCGGAGGGAAAAAACUAAAAUUAAAAAUUAAAGUCUAUGAUGUAGGUAGAUAAACACCCUUAAAAUGCUUGCACAUGCAAUUGUAUUUGAUUAUCUAUAUCACAUAUUAGGAGGCUAGGAGCAUAACUUAUGAUUUCAUGGAGAAGAGUGCUUUCAACAAUUUUAAAUGCAAUUUCAAAUCAGCCUUAAAGAUUCGAAUUCAGAUUUGAUCCUACACUUCCAUGCACCAUAAUGUACUUUUAAAAUUUUGUACGGAAUGAUAAGUACUAAAAUUAGAUGACGUAAGUACGUAACAAGCAUAAUACUAAAAAAACGGAGAAACAACAUAUAUAUCAUCAACAAAGAUAUAUUCAAACUUCCCACACAUGAAUCGAACUUAAUUUCAUAAUUAUCAUUAGAGAUUAGUUAAACACUUCAUUAAUAUCGGAAUCUCAUACUUCUAAAGGCAUUAACCCUAAUUCCUGCCAUUAAUCACCAAAAUGCACUGUCUUACUAGUACUACAAUCCAUGAUAUACUAUAUAUAAGUAAUUUUCUAAGCCUCAGCAGCACCACCAGCGUCACCACCAUCCACAUUGUCAUCAGGAACACCAUGAUCAUCCUCCGCCGCGGGCAUGUUCAGGUCGAAUCCACCGCCGCCUUCAUUGUCCUCCUCCACAUCGACGGCUUCGUUGAGAUCGAAUCCACGUAUAACAUUAGCAGCAGCAUUACUUGCUUCCUCUACGUACACAACAUAAACAAUGUUGAUAUAAUUAUAUCCCAAUAUCAUCAUCUAUGAUACAAGCAAAUUAAACAACAAAAUGAAAAGUUAAUUUCGUUGCCACUUAAUUGUUAGAUUAGGGCAAACUAAUUAAUUACCUUGUUGGUGUCCUGGGGGUGGGAAGGCGCCCCUAUAGCCACGCUCUGGGUGGCUACGCAGGUGCCCAAACAAUGCUUUCCACGAACUGAAAUCCGACCGUUUGCAUACGGGGCAAGUCGGAGUCACUCCUUCCGGGGCAUUGACUUCGGCUUUGCGCUUGCCAGGCUGGCCACCGGCGGCCAUGCUCCCCGCUGCCGCAAGUCCCCCUCCUAAAGAUAUUUCAACGCUGACGGGAGCAAAACUACUCCCACCAAUUUGAGUGAUGCUUCCCGCUGCAGAAGGAGGGGCUGAGGACGACCCUCUCCCUAAAAAAGAGGGCGAUCCUCUCCCGCCAGGAGGAGAUUUUUCGCCAGAGGGUGAUCCCCUGCCUGGAGUCCUCCGGCCACCAGAGCGUGCGCCCCUUCUUGGGGUGGAUGUCCCCCUACCAGGAGAGGAUGACGCACGACCAGGAAGUCCUCUGUUGGGUGUAGAAGGAGUCAGAGAGGGCCCUCCGGUAGCAGACUCUCCUCCCACAUUGAAUUGACCAGAGGUAGGAGGAGUACGAACAGGAAGAGACCCAGAGGACCCCCCGACAACGAAUCCACCGAACCAUCCUGAUCCCACAUUGACUUGACCAGUGCUAGGAGGAGCAGGAGUCGGCGCAGGAGGACUUGGUGGUCCAGUAGGAGCAGCCCCAGUAACGUUGGAGCUAAUGUUCUCGUUACGUGGUUGCUGUCCCUCGGCGGAGGAGCCCUGGUUGGUGGCGGUGGUGGUGUCCUUGGGGUUAGUCAUACUGAUAUUUGUCACUUGAGAGAGAGAAAGAAACACUGUCCGAACGGCAAAGUGUUCAUCAUGUCCUGCGGAAGAAGUUUAUAUAAUUAGGGUUCUCGGAAAUUCCAGAUUGGCACUGUUCUGUACAAAAAGAUGCGUCUCAAUCUUCGAAGGGCACUCACUGCAAACUGCAAUGCAUGCGACUCUUCGUCUCUGAAAAAUGGUAACUUCUGGGAAUCAUAUGCAGCGCGACAUUUGCACCAAGGGUCGUGUUUUUUGAACAUCGGCCGUUGAUGUUCGCGUGUAAACCCAUCGAACGGUGCUUGGUGCUCGGUGGUUUUCAUGCAUGAAGGCGCCGCCACAAUGCAUAUCACGAUUGGGUGGCUUUCCAAGGAGAAGGGAACUGUACCGGUUGGUGAGAGGGAACGAAGCUUCAGUGAACGAAAUGACGAUUUUGACCUUGAGGUCCGAGUCCUCCGACGAAACAUAUAUAUUGACAUUAGGGCAAAUAUGGUAUGACAUGCAAGAGAAAACCUGAAAAGUUAAUCAUGAAACGGCUUCCAUAUUUGUUCAUAUGUGAGCCAAAAUCUAACCUGGAUUAUUUGUUUCUAACAAUCUGGGAUACAUUGCACCUCUAAUUCAAAUUUGGGAGAUUGGUGAGCAUGUAAUUUUUUAUUUAAAGAAUAUAUUGUUCUAAUUUACGGGAAUAUAGAUUUAAAUUUGAGUGCAAAGCGGCGGUCACACUAUCGUUAUCAAGACCUAACUUGUAUUUUGUAAAUGAGCCAACAUGAUCCUCUUCGGAUCCUUUUGGUGACGAUCCUAUGAAUUGUAUCAGUUCAUCGUACAUCGUGCGAUCAGUUUUUGUCAAGUACUGUUUAUGUUUAUUUUUAAAUAAAAAUAUUUAAAAUGAUUUUUAACCAUACGAUGUACGAUGAACGGACACGAUUCACGAAUUCUUAGAAGCCUCACAAAGAGGAUCCGGCGAAGAUCCAAACUAGUAAAUGAGUAACAAGCCCCUCAUUUCAAAAAUGUCAUUGGUGAACAUUAUCCAAAUAAAAAUAAAAAUAACUUUGGAAAUGAUGAGGUCGCUAAAUUCAAGUACAAUGUACGACUAAUCUACUGCAUGUAAUUUCUUAUAGAAAAUCUACUACAACUCAUGUUUGGUUGAAUUGGAUUAGGUCAUUAACAAUUCGAUUAACUUAACUAAUUAGGAUUAAGUAAACAUAGGAAGUUGUUGAAUUAAUUCCAUGUAUUUCUUAGAGAGGAGCAAUGUUAUUUAGACACAAAACUGUUUUACACUCAAUUAAUAUAAUUGGAUUUCACAUACAAUAUAUAGCAUGGCCUACCAAAAAAAAUGGAGUUCUCUAGCAAGGUACUUUGAUCCAAGCCCAAAUAUUUGAGCUGUUAUUAAAUUUUCUUUAAUUAUUUGAAAAUAUGACUAAACUUAUUUGCUGACUAAAUUUGAAAUUUUUGUGAUUAAAAGUCAAAAUUGAUAUCAAUGUUAAAUUUAUUUUAAUUAAUCUUAAUAGUGAAUCCCUUAUUUCACUAACAUUUUACCCAAUAAUUUUUUUAAUUUUUUUAAUAAAUACAACCAUUUAAAGCUCUAUAUUAAUAAGAAAAUAACAUUUGACAUUUCGGUUGAAGAAGUACAAAAUUUGAUAUAAGACUUCAGAUUGCCACAUGAGCAUCAAUUGUAAUUUGUUUGUUAGAAUUUGACAUUUUCUUUGGGUAAGAAAGGGGGAAAACACAUGGAAAUUUAAGGGUCUGUUUGAUACCUAUUCAUUUUUUUUAUCAUUUUUUAAAACAUUUCUUAAAAAUAAUUUUCUUUAGGACUAAAAAACUUGAUUGGUUUGUGAAAAAAAAAAGGAGAGAGAAAGAAGAAAAGAGAGAUAGAUUUGGAUUGAGGAGAGAAGUGAGAGAAAAGAAAUUAGUCAAUUUAAGUUUAAAAACCCUAAAAACUCACUUUUUAUGUAUUUAGAGAAUAUAUUAUAUUUUUGAGCUAGUCUUGAGUUUAGUUUUUGAAAAUAGUCAUACCAAACAAGUUUUUAAAGCCUAAAGCCUAAAACUUGAAAAUUGUUUUUUAGUUUAAAAAGUUGAAUUCAAGUAGAGUACCAAACAGGCCCUAAACAGCUAUGUCUACCUACAAAUACUUGAAAAGUGCAAGAAAUAUCUCCUAAGUACACAACUUUUCCAAACCAUUCAUGUGGUAAACAAUUUCUCUUUUUCUUAUGUACACUCGGGACUGCCAGGCAUCCGAGGAAGGAGACCAUAAUCCGAUGACCAUAGAUUUGCGCCGCCACUAACAUAGGGCUCGUAUAGUCAGAAUAUCACAUCUCAGAUUCUCAGGUCUAACAUGACUAAUCUCGGCAGGCACCACAUGGACAGAACCAGAUAAAUGGAAACAUUGAAAAUAUAACCUAUCUGCCCAAAUUCCCCAAAAGCCGCUCGACUGCUGCGUGGACAUUUCCUGCGGUGGCCAUCAGAGCCCGUAUGUUCUCUUGUCGGUCAAAGAAACCCAUCUCCUGAAGUUGGGAAAGCUGCGCAGCAUAGAGUUCAUCCGGAGGCACUGAAAUACACGGCAUAUAAUUAAGGGAACUUUAACGAAAAGCACCUGGUACUGUUCAUUUUAACGAAAAACCACAUUUUUACACUAAAAAGUCAAUCCUGGUACUAUUCACUUUACCUUUUAUUUUGUCCUUAUCAUUAAAACUCAAAGUUUUCAAACCCUUUUCAUUAGUUUUUCUUAUAAUUAAUACAAACCAAACAAAAGAAAUCCUUCUAUAUAAGAAAUGAAAGGUAAGUGGUAGCCAUCAGGCGGAUUGGGAACAGCCAAGCUGCCAGUGCUAAGCCCGCCAAACAUGUUCAUCAGCGUGUCUAACCCCAUGUUAUUGAAUAAUCCUGUUUCAACGAAUGCAUUAACAUGCGACCAAUUACCACAAUGAAUAUCCUUAAAACAGAAUACGCGAGUGUACUCUUUUAGAUUAGGUUGUUACCAUAACCUGCUUCUGGAAUCUCACUUCCAGCAUGUUUUUCAUUCAUUGAAAAUCAGAAACGAAAACCCACUCUGUCCCAAGUUUUCACCAAACCCCUAGUACCCAUAGUUCGAAAUAAAGACAAAUAAAAUGGAUAUCGACUUGGAUACCUGUUCCUGCACCAGUCUGACCUGGCGCCCUGCAAGCUGCAAGUAAACAUGAAUUUAGUACAACUCAACGAGAAAAAACCAGUAAUGACAGCUGAUCAACACAAGCAAUGCAAAAACGAAAGCCUAACCAACGAACAUGCACAGUUAGAUGUUUCUUAUUUCCAAUAGGAGUUGAUUCAAUGACCCUGCGCCAAUAUUUCUAGACUAGUGACUGCAUAUGGUAUUGUUCAAGCAGUGAACCAAUGACCAUUUCCCAACUUGUUUAACAACGAAAUCCAAGCCAAGACACACCAAACAUCAGUAGCAAUCUAUUGAAACCGGUUUGUAUGGAUGGGUUGUAUGUAUAAGUUGUCAUCCUCACCAUAGCUUGUCAUUCACCUUACAUCAACCUUUCUCCAUAACUUGUCAUUCACCAAUCACUUUCCAUAGCUUGUCAUUCACCUUACAUCAACCUUUCUCCAUAGCUUGUCAUUCAUCAAUCAGUGACUGCAUCAACACAAGCAAUGAAAAGACGAAAGCCUAAGCAAUGAACAUGCACAGUUAUGUUCUUUCUUAUCUCCAAUAGGAGUUGAUUCAAUUACCCUGCGCCAAUAUUUCUAAACUAGUGACUUCAUAUGGUAUUGCAAGCUGUGAAUCAAUGAUCAUUUACCCAACUUGUUUAACAACGAAAUCCAAGCCAGGACAAACCAAAGUACAGUAGCAAUACAACGCUUAGUAAAGGAACAAAUUAAAUAGUCUAACUCAACUGGCCAAGAACUCUUGACAUACAGUUUCAAAUUCAAUCGAGUUGCAUAACUGAUCCAUAGUGGUCUAUAUGGAACCCUCAGGCAGCUGAGGGAGAUAUAUCAAUUCAGGCUAUAUCUAUUAGACGUAUCAAAUACAAAAUUAUGUCACUUCUUACUGGGUUGACUGUUGCUGUUGCCGACCAAGUUGCGACAGAAGUGAUUGCUGCAAAGUCAAGAGCAUCUGCAUGAUAGAAAAGUAAAACCAAAGGCAAUACAGAAGCAAAAAUUAAAUAGGCACCACUACUCAAGAAGACAUCCAACGCACAUCAUUACUCAUGCAAACAUUAAGGACAUUGCCUCCCAAAUUAAAAUCAUUCAGAACCACAACGACAAGAAUUACUAUUGAUUCAUAUUGACAAGAUUUGACUGAAUUGGGCAGCUUGGACAAACAAAAACUUCAAAAUUCAAAACAUUAGGCACCCUGAAUAAAUUUACCUGCAUUGUCUCAGGAGAAUCCAAGUGAUGAAGAAAUUCCGGGUUUUGCAUCAUUUCUCUUAAAGAAGAAUUGGUAUCGAGCAUGCUGCGUAACUGGGGGUUAGAACCUAGAAUCUGCAGUCAAAUAAUGUUAAGAAAAAAUAAAUUUCAUCAUCAAGCUUAUUCUAUCAAUAGGGAAUAAAACGAUACCUCGUUCAUAUACUGAGGAUUAGAGAGGAGGCUUUGCAUUAUUUGAGAAACUGCUGGAUUUUGCAUUAACUGAUUCAGUAAAUUGCUAUCCUGCGGCAUGGCACCAAAUGCUCCUUCCAACUCUGGAUAGCUACUUCUAGCUGUGCCAGUUGGUGUCUGUGGCCUAGCAUCCCCGAAAGGAUUUGACCAUGCGGUGUUAGUUUGACCAAUUCCAACUGCUAAAUUUGGAUCUAGUCAACAACUGAUUGGUAAUGUUUAAAACAAAAAAGGGGGAACACAAAAUAUUGACCUUAACCAGAGGAAGCAAGGUUAAAAGGUUUCAUUAAAUGUUCCGUUGUAUUGUGGCUAAUAUUGUUACAACUAACUAGUAGUCUAGUACUAAUGCUAUAUUAGAAAAGGCGGAACUAGCUCAACUAUAAAAUUAAAGAUAGGAUAGUGCUAUUUGCACACCCAUUUUUACAUCCUACACACCCUUGUUAAUUUUCGGCCAUUGAUCUUAUUCAAUUCAUUCGAUCCGACAGCCGAAAAUUGAAAGUGGUAAGUGAGAAAAGUAAAAAUUGGUGUGUGGAUAGCACUACCCUAAAAAAUAACAGAUGGUGCAUGCUAGCUUAAGUGGUAUUAUCACUUCCGCUUCAUCAAGGAUGAGAAAUACUAAUACCUCUUAUCUAGUUAAAGUGCUAGAAAAGGAGAAUCUUUCUUCCCCUUCAAACUUUGUGCCAUUGACUGAUAGACGAAAUACCACAUCUCUAUCCGGACAACAUAGAAUGAUAAAAUUGAUUAGGCCAUAAGAUUGUGCACUAUGUCCCAACAACAUAAGGGACUCAAAGCAAACAAAGUUUAAGCGUACUGCUCGAAAGCGAAAACAUUGCACAAUAGAAGCAAGUGAGCAAGAGCUUACUGCCUGCAGAGGAACAUGGGUUGGGAAGUGGGUUAGUAUUUGGAGCAGGUGAACCAGUUGCUGAAUCAGAACUAACUGUCGACUGGUUAGUGGACUGAGCUCUGGUUUGGUUGCCAACUUGGGUCCUCAAAAGAGCUGCAAACGUGUUUGAACCAUCACUUCCAGCAUCCCCAGCCAUUGUCGUUGCAUUCAUUAACGGCUCUUGUACGUUCUCAUACAUGCGUCUGAGCAUGGUAAAUCCCUCUGGAGUGGCUUCGAUGUUGCUCAUGGCUCUGUCAGUGUUGCGCAUCAUCUCAAGCAUAAGCUCGGGGUUUCUUGCUGCUUCAAGUGUCUGAUAAAGAGUGCUAGGAUCAUUAAGUACGUGUGCUAGCUCGGGAUUUCGAUCUAUAAUUUCACGCAUUUGAGGGUUGUUCAUAAUCAAGUUCCGCAUAUGUCCGGAUUAUUCAUAUUAUUUUGAAUGGCAGGCACGUUCAUCAUGUCUCUGAUCACAUUAGCGUUCUGAGUCAUUUGUUCAAAGUCAGGAAACCCAUCUCCGAAUAGACCACCAGUGCCACCCAUCCCAUUUCCAUUAAGUCCAAGUCCAAGGAAUGGCGAGGCUCCAAACCCAGACCCCCCCCCCCCCCCCCCCCCCCCCAAUGUCCCACCACCUUCACUAGAUCCAACAAUCCUUGCUUGGGUAGAAUUAGCAGCUCCACCAUUGGUCGCAACCCCAGUCUUUGCUGAGGUAGCUGGCGCAAAACCACGAACCAUAUGAAGAGUGUGAUCUGCCUCCAAACCUAUUUGAAUCGAACAAAGAAUUCACAUUUGCUCCAAUAUAAAUCUUAACCUUCAUAUAGAAAAGAACCCAUGCCUAAAUUCUCAUCUCAUAAAAGAAACACAAGGAAUUGUCGAAUGCCUAAACAACAAACUGUAGAGCAUGCACCCCAAGCAGCACUACCAACGACUACAAGACAAUAAAACAAGCAGGGUUCCCACAAAGUGUUCUUUAAAUGAGAUACUUGCAUACAAACAUUUUUCACAGAGGAUAAAGAAUCAAAGCUACAAAAAAUUUAACAAAACAAUAAAAAAAUUAAAGCCUGGAAAAUUUGGAGCAAAGCUUCAUAGUCAAAAGCAUUUGAGGGAGCUGAGAGGCAACCGGAUUAUAUGUCUAUGAGAUAAUGAAAAUGCGAUUAUGAGAUUAUGUGAACACCUGUAGAUGCUCCGGUUAUAAAAUGUAAUUAUGAGACAGAGGCCCAGGGCAAUAGGGGUAGAGGAAGACCUAGGAAGACUUUGAAAGAGAUUUUAAGAAAAGACUGAGAGUACUUGGAGUUAAUGAAAGAAUAGGUGCAAAACCCAGCGCAGUGGCGUUCUAUGAUUCAUACAACUAACCCCAUUCAGUGGAAUAAGGCUUUGUUGUUGGGACAAGGAUUGUCUGCCCUCCCACUUCUGGUGCCCUCCCGUGCCCUUCUGUUUGUGUGGUCACGGUUAAGCCACGUCCAUAUUUUAUAUUACUAUUCAUUUUUUGUCUUAUUAUUUCUAUAAAAAAAAACAAUAUAAAAUGUUGACGUGGUUUAACCGUGAUUACACAAAAUAGGAAAGCACGGAGGACACUGGAAGUGGGAGGACAGACAAUCCUUGUCCUUGUUGUUGUUGUAUGAGAUAACGAAAGCUUUCUACUCAUGCCUGCCCUAUUAUUCGAUAAAGAAAGCUCACUGCUCCUAGUGACACCUGCCCUAUCAUUCAAGUUUUCAUUCCUGCCUUCUCUAAAAUUCUCUUAACCGUCAUAUUGAAAUUAAUUACCGAACGGACAAAGCUAAAACUACAUAUCUGUAUAAUCCAAAAUUCCAAACAGGCUGAAGAUUGAACUUCAACUAUAUCACCGUGUCUGCAAGUCUUUUACCAACAAGCUAUGCAACAACGUAAUGUGAAAUGAAUUACCGCCCUAACAGUGAUCUGUAAAUGCAUAUACAUUCAAAAGAAAAAACAACGAAAAUGGAUCCGCAAACACAUUGAUUCAAUCACAACAGUAAAAAUACUUCUCAAUUUUUACCACAAAACAAACACACUGAAAAAAUUAAUUAAAUUUAAAUAAGAACAGUGUACAGCAAUAAGAAAUUAGAUGGUACCGUAUCUUUGGAGUGUUUGAUCGUCCUUCAAGAUCCGGCCCUUGUAAAUCAGCCCUGCUGAUUGGCUGGAAUUCAUAACAAUGGCAUGUUCAGCCAUUGAAACAUUCAGAAAAGCUUAAACGCAAGAAAAUAUGGAAAUGGCAGAAGAAAAGAGAGGAAGAGAGAAAGAGAAAGAAAUGAAACUUGCAAAAGAAGCUGUUGUAUUAACCGAACAAAAACUAAACAAUUACAUCCUUAUCUAGCCUUAUAUAUAGCAGCUGUCCAAACUUAAUGACUAAGUAAUCUAAUAUCCUUCAUUUAGCUGAUGUGUACAAAUACAUAAGAAAAGACUCAAAUAUCCCAUACAUUGUUAAUACUCCCCCUCAAUCUCAGCUGGGAUAUCCCAGCCUGAGAUUGGAACAAUGAUGAACAAACAAAGGACUAUGUAAUCCUUUAGUUAAUACAUCUGCAAUCUGAGCCUCAGUGGGAAUAUACUGUACCUGCAGAUCACCUUUUUGCACCCGUUCACGAACAAAAUGAAAAUCAGUAUCUAAGUGUUUAAUCCUAGUAUGAAAAACUGGAUUAGAACACAAUGCCAAUGUAGAAAGAUUAUCACAAUGUACCAAUGGUACUGAAGGAAGAAACAUAUGGAGAUCCUUAAGAACUAAUCGGAUCCAAGCCACAUCCGCUGCUGCAUUAGCUAAGGCUUUAUAUUCAGCCUCCGUUGAGCUUCGAGAAACACUGCCUUGUUUCUUAGACUGCCAGGACACAGGAUUUGAGCCCAGAAAAACAAUGUAACCAGUAGUCGACCUCCUUGUAUUUAUAUCCGCUGCCCAAUCAGCAUCACUAUAUGCAAAUAAAUCCAUAUUGUCUUGAGCAGAGUAAGUUAAUCCACAUUGCCAUGUACCCUUCAAAUACCGUAGGAUUCUUUUAACGAGACAGAAAUGAGCUUCAGUUGGAGUUGUCAUGAAUUGGCAAGCAUAGUUGACAGCAUAUGCAAUAUCAGGCCGUGUAAAGGUGAGAUAUUGCAAUGCACCAACUAAACUUCGGUAAACUGUGGGAUCAGCUAAUGGUUCUCCUUCAUCUUUGAGCAAUUGAGUAUGAGGUUUACUUGGAGUGGAACAAGGUCUGCAAUUUAUCAUGACGGCCUUAUUGAGUAGAUCAGUCACAUACUUGGAUUGAUUAAUGAAUAUAUCACCAUUGUCUUUGUACGUGAUUUGAAGUCCCAAAAAAUAAGUAAGCUUGCCCAUGUCCUUCAUAUAAAAAACACUACUCAAUUCAGCAAUCACUUGUUGAAUAAGGGAGAAUGAAGAACCUGUGAUGAUGAUAUCAUCCACAUAUAACAACAAGAUCACUACAUCAGUCCCACACACUUUCACAAACAAACUAGGAUCUGAAUGAGAUGACUGAAAGUCUAAGGAAGGUAAAUAACUUGUAAACUUGGCAUUCCAAGCCCUUGGAGCCUGUUUAAGACCAUAUAAUGACUUGAGAAGCUUGCACACAUGAUUAGGAUGCUGAGGAUCUUGAAAACCCUGAGGUUGUUUCAUAAAAACUUCUUCUUGUAAUUCACCAUGAAGAAAAGCGUUCUUUACAUCCAACUGCCGCAAUUCCCAUCCUUUCAUAGCAGCAAGAGACAAAACCAGCCUCACUGUUGUAUGUCUUACCACCGGACUAAAAGUCUCAUCAUAGUCCAAUCCUUGUUCCUGACUAUAACCCUGAGCAACUAAACGUGCCUUUAUAUCUGGACACUUUGCCAUCUUGAUCCUUCUUGAUCUUGUACACCCAUUUGCUCCCUAUCACAUUUCUGUCAACCGGAGGUGGUACUAGCUCCCAAGUACCUUGUUUUUGUAAAGACACAAAUUCUUCCUUCAUAGCAUUCCUCUAAUCCUCAGAAAGAACAGCUUGUUUAUAAUGAGAAGGUUCUAGUGAAUCAUGAAUGUCAAGAAUCGCAGUAAAUCCACAAAACAUCACAUCAUCAUCAUGAGAAGAAGGAAAAACUGAAGUAUUUGAUGCAGAAGCAUAAUAAGUAGAGUAGUCUUUUCGCUGCAGGACUCCACUUUUUAAACGUGUAACCAUAUUAUGCUCAGAAGAAGUAUGCAUAACAGGAGACGGAGAUACCUGAUGUUGGUCAUGGUCAGGGACAUGCCACACUUGAGAGGAAGAAGGAGAGUGAUGUAGUGUAGUAGCUUGUAUAUCUGAUGAAGAAUGCAGAACUGGACUGGAAGAGAGACUUGAAGGUUGAGAUGCCAUAGAAUGUAUAUCCACAGAUUGACCAUUCCCACCAAUUUCUUCUCUUGUUUGGCAGAUGAAUUAGGAACCACAAUAUAUCUCAUUCUUGGUAACUCUUGCUGUGAGGAUACAGCCAGUGAAGAAAUAUUGACAGAAGAAGAAUGAGACUUCUUAAAAGGAAACACAUUCUCAUCAUAGAUGACAUGCCUUGAUAACAGUAACCUUUGUGUAGUCCGAUUAUAGCACAACACUCCCUUAUAUCCAAUAGAGUAGCCCACAAACACACAUUCAUCACUUCUAGCUUGUAACUUAUUGACAUUAUAAGGUCUUAAGUAGGGAUAGACUGCAGUACCAAAAAUCUUUAAGGAACUCAGAGAUGGAGAUUGGGCAAACAAUUUAACAUAGGGAGACACCAUUUCUAAGUUUUGGCAAGGCAUUCUAUUGAUUAAAAACACUGCAUGACUACAAGCAUGAAACCAAAACUGUUGAGGUAACCUUGCAGCACUCAAUAAUGUCACAGUAGUCUCAAUAAUAUGCCUGUGUUUCCGUUCUGCCAACCCAUUCUGUUGAGGGGUAUAAGGACACGAGACAAGAUGUAAAAUCCCAUUUGUAUCCAGAAAUUGUUUAAACAACCUACUCAUAUACUCUCCUCCGCCAUCAGAUUGCAGUGUCUUAAUACUGCAUUUGAAAUGAUUCAUAACAAAUGCAUGAAACUUAACAAACACAGUAUAGACAUCAGAUUUAUUAACAAGAGGAAAGAUCCAAGUGAACCUUGUGCAUUCAUCUACGAAAAUUACAUAAUAUCUGUAACCUUCAAGAGAUACAGUGGGUGAAGGUCCCCAUACAUCAGUAUGCACUUUCUCAAAAGGAACACUAGACUUAUUACAUUUAGAAGGAAAUGGUUGUCUAGUCAUCUUACCCCUAAUACAAGCUGAACAUAAAUGUGGACUUUUAUCUAAAGAGACAGAUAUCUGAGACUCCUUCAACAUUUUCAACUGAACUUCAUUAGUAGGAUGCCCAAGUCGUUGAUGCCAAAUUGAAGUCUUCACAAGCUGUCCCAAAAGAGCUUGAGGUGUAUUAUUUACUAGCUGAGAAUAGUUGAAAAACUGCUGCUGAGGAAUAUAAUACAAGCCACUACUACUAUUCUUUCCUCUCAGUAGAAUUUUCUUUGUUGCCUUGUCCUGCACCCAGAAACCAAAUUCAUCAAGUAUAACAUAGCAGUGAUUAUCUUUGCAUAGUCUAUACACAGAUAAUAAACUAGCUGCUAAUUGAGGAACAUGUAAAACCAUUUGAAGAGUUAAAUGUUUGGAAGAAGUUAAAAGAGAACCCGAACCAGUAUUGGCUACAGGUAAACCUUCUCCAUUGCCCACUGUGAUCCUGUCAGUGCCUUCAAAAGGAGUAAUAAGUGUCAAAUGAUCCAGACCAGCUGUCAUAUGAUGUGUAGCCCCUGUGUCGAGCACCCAAUUUUGUUGUGAAGAAGAAUGAAGGUUUGGCUGAGCUUGUGCAGUGAAAGCAUUGAAAGAAGAAGGAGGUUGAGCACCUUGAUAUGCAUAAUUUCCUCGAUGAUAACAAUUGAGAGCAGAAUGACCUUUCUUCCCACAGAUUUGACACUCCAGAAUUGGAGGAACAGAGCUUGAGCUGGCAUCAUACCUUGAAUAGCAAUUAGUAGCUGUGUGGCCUCUUUUAUGACAUAUUUGACAUUCAGGAAUCAAUGUUGGCUUAAAACCACUAUUUCCAUUCCAAUUCUGCCAAUUUGAACCUCUUUUAGAACUACCAGAAAAACCAUUGCUGUUUGAUCCUCCAGGAAAACCAUUGCUGUUUGAUCCUCCAGAAAAACCAUUGUUGUUUGAUCCUCCAGGAAAACCAUUGGAAUUGCCUGAGAAUCUGCCAUUAUUAUUCCCAUUGUAUCUGGACCUAUUGUUAAAUCUUCCAUUGUUUUCGCCAUUAUGCUGAUAUCCUCUAUUAUUCUGAAAAUUCCCAUUUCCUUGUUGAUGAAAAUGAGGUAGAGAAGCCUGAGAAACAAUGCCACCAGUGGGUCUAUGAGCAGUACUUUGAGAGGAAUUAGUAGCUUCAGUGACAAAACCAUAGCCACCAGAGAAGUACUGAGAAGCUCCUUGAUCUUGUGAGGAAUGAGCAUUAGAGGAUUCUCCUUGACAAUACAUGGCUAACAUAGGAAAAUGCAAAGUAGACUGUGAAUCUUCAGCUGUUCACUCAGCAGCCAACAAUUGUGCUCGAAAUUCUUUUAAAGAAAUAGGAGUUUCACGAGCCACAAUCACAGUACGAAUCAUAUUAAACUCAGCCGGUAAACUCGCAAGAGCAGCAACAAUAAGGUCAUUCUCAGACACUACUUCACCUGCUGCCAUAAGCUGAUCUUUAAGAGCCUUAAGCCUCAACAUAUAUUUUUCAACACUAUCAGACCCUUUCUUGAUAGUCAACAAUUCAGUUUUGAGAUGAUUCACCCUUGCUCUGGAAACAGUAGCAUAUCUGUCCUGCAAAUUCAUCCAAGCUUCAUGUGCAGUUUUACAACCUACAACAUAUUCCACAGCCUCAUCACCUAAUGUAGCAAGAAUAAGACUAACAAGAGCUCUGUCUUGUUUAAUCCAUUCCUUGUAUGCUGCUAUAAUCUCAGUAGUGAUACCAUUAGCUUCAGUGAACACAAACUUCGGUGGACAAACCGAUGUGCCAUCAAAGUGAUCAAACAAAUCAUAUCCCUCAAGCACCGAGCGAAAUUGAAAAGACCACUUGACAAAAUUAUCAUCUUGCAGCCGAAUGGUGAACAUACCAAGAAGACUUUCCACUUUGAGUGUAUUCAUAUCGAGACUUCAACAAGAACCAAGAAAGAAAACAAACAGAAGCAAAUCACAAAGAAUCAGCAAUUCAGAAAGAAUCAAGGCUUCGUGCCCAAACAAUCAGCAAUUUAGAAAGAAUCAAGGCUUCGUGCCCAAACUGUAAGGAGCUUCGUGCUAAAAAACUCAUCAAGUAAGCAAACCACAGUAGCUGCGUGUGCAAGCAAUCAACAAUUCAGAAAGAAUCAAGGCUUCGUGCCCAAACAAUCAGCAAGUCAGAAAGAAUCAAGGCUUCGUGCCCAAACUGUAAGGAGCUUCGUGCUAAAAAACUCAUCAAGGAAGCAAACCACAAUAGGCUUCGUGCCCUAACAUUUAUCACAUCAACAAAUCAUAGAUCCAUAGCUAUACCAUGAAAUUAAACACAAAGUCCAGAAAAUAUUGACCAGAAACCACCAGAAUCAAGCGGAUAUAACCUGAGUCGGCACCGACGAACCGAAACCAAAACUUCGUCGACAAAAUCAGAAACCACCGCCUCGACAAAAUCAGAAACCACCGCCUCUCAGAUCCGUCGAAAAAAAACAAACUCCAAAGCUUAAUGAGCCCGUCAGGAUCCUCUUCACAGAUUCACCAAACCUAAGCUUUUGAUACCAUCAUAACAAUGGCAUGUUCAGCCAUUGAAACAUUCAGAAAAGCUUAAACGCAAGAAAAUAUGGAAAUGGCAGAAGAAAAGAGAGGAAGAGAGAAAGAGAAAGAAAUGAAACUUGCAAAAGAAGCUGUUGUAUUAACCGAACAAAAACUAAACAAUUACAUCCUUAUCUAGCCUUAUAUAUAGCAGCUGUCCAAACUUAAUGACUAAGUAAUCUAAUAUCCUUCAUUUAGCUGAUGUGUACAAAUACAUAAGAAAAGACUCAAAUACCCCAUACAUUGUUAAUAGGAAUGUCGCAUUUCCGCGAGAGAACUUCCUUGAAUGAUCCAACGGUGGAUUCGAGGCCAAUGUGAACACUGAACUUUGAGCCAUUGGAAACAACUCGUGGAUUUCGAUAUUGUAAUUUUAGUUCUACUUUGAUUUCUCGAGGUCGUUUCAAGACGAAGAAGUUCUAAAUGUCGUUCCAAUUUUUAUUUGAGUGGAUAUAAGGUCAAAUAUUUUCUUCUCAAUCGUUUAUAGAUAUAAAUUAUCAUCGUCGUUGUAUGUGAAAAUUGAAUCUCGAAUUCGAUUUACUAAAAUCUACACAGGCAUCAUAGAGGCACCAAGUCCAUCUCUUGGUUAGACAGCGCCAACAAAAACCAAAUUAAUGACCGAGGCAAAAUCAACCAUCAUGACAUCUCUCAUGGUGAUGUUUUGAUUUCUUUUUUAACAUAAAUUGUCAUAAUACAAAUAAUUAGAUACUUAACAAAAAAUUCAAUCACUUAUAUUAUGAACUUGUGUACCGAUCCGAUGUUCGGGCACAACCAAAAAAAUUUCUCCUGUGUGUCCUUGUUAAUGUGACAAGUAGGCUUGAAGGGAAAAAAGAAAAAAACAAAACAGAGACAAGUAAGCAUUUUUAUCUAUAAAACUCAAAGUGGGACCCGCUCAAAACAACAGAAGAAGAUGAGGCCGUGACUACACACGGUCACAACUAGGUGGUCUUAUCACUAGGGGUUAUAAGAAAAGCCAAAGAAAAUUGCACGAAAAAAUUGCUGCCGCCGCUGCUGCUGCAACGCACAAAAAAGGUGCCAGAAAGCGCGCCAUGAUAUUCAUCUUCCAUGGCAAUAAUAUCUCCGCGAGGCUCCAACAAGUUCUUGCUAUCUCGCCUCGGAGCCCUAAUCACGCAACAGGUCCCUCUCUAACCUUUUACUUUCUUUGAGGCAUUUCGUCGAACAUUUGGUGACUGGUGUUUCCUCAAUGCGCAGAAAUUCGUCCACGCAUUGUCUGAGGGAGGAUUGCAAUCUCAGGUUCACCCUAAAAUGGUCCCGGACCAAGGUAUAUGCAUUAAAGUCUUUGCAUUUGUGUACUUCGAAAGGAAAGGUUGAUUUUUGUUAUGGCUAUUAGCCAUUGGCGUUGUGUAUAAUAUGCACUUUUGUUCAUUUAUGAAUUGGGUAGGUUUCAUUGAUAUGUAUAAGUGGAAAAAGAUCGACGCGAGGGCCCUCGGGAUAAAGCCCUCCAUGAUUUCGCAUCCCUCUUGGAUUGUGUUGAAACUUCUUCAGGCUGAAGGUAACAUCAUGUUCCAUUUUCGCUCUCAUUGUUGAUGUACGUAUGUUGGUGGUGUUGUGUGUUUGUGUAGAGCAAAGCAUUUAUAUGCCUCACUGAAGUCGAAUAACCAUCGGAAUUAUUCAGUUAAAGGGUUUAUUUUGACUUGGCUGAAUUGGAUGGUUUGCUUAUCUUUUAAUGUAUGCAGGGUUUGAGGCCUACUUAGUGGGUGGAUGUGUUAGAGACUUAAUCCUUAAAAGGAUACCUAAAGACUUCGAUGUGAUCACUACAGCUAAUCUUAAAGAGGUUCGUAACGCUUUAUUUUAAAGUGUUCUUCUCAACUCCUGUAGAUUGUGAUACGUUGCUAGGUGGGGAAAUUCAGACUCCUUUGGUUGUUUAACCUAUUACAGAUCAAGAAGAAAUUUCAUCGUGCAGAUGUUGUUGGGCAACGGUUUCCUAUAUGCAGGGUGCAUGUUAAAGGCACAGUCAUUGAGGUUGGUUGGUGAACCUUGUAGUUACAGUAUCUUCUUGUGUGACUAUUUUUAUUGUUCGAGAUAUCAUUUUCUUAUUCAAAUAAUAUGCAGCUGUGUCAACUUGCCUUUAGUAUCCUAUCUUGAUGUUCCUUUGUUCUUCCUUUGACUCCUGUAACAGGUAUCAAGUUUUGAAACAGUGGCAAGAGAUGCAGGAAAAAAGAAAGAGAAACAGAAAGAUAAUUUAUCUUUUAGGCCGCCUGGCUGUGAUAAGAAAGAUUUCAUCCGUUGGAAAAACAGCAUGCAUCGGGACUUCACUAUUAACAGGUACCCUUAUCUUCCAUUUUUCACCAUACCAUGUGCUAUGCUAGCAAUAUAAAUACUCUCUCUAUUCAUUUGACCUGUGUAAUUCAAUUUCAUUUGACAACACAAUUUGUGAAAUUGUGCAAGCAGUUUAUUCUUUGAUCCUUUUACGAAUAAGGUCUAUGAUUAUGCCAAUGGAAUGGCGGACUUAAGGCACUUAAAGGUAACUCCCAAUUUCCCUUUGUUUAUGGAAAUCUUUACCUUCCUAUAAAAUAGUUUUUUAUUUUUUAUUUUAUUUUUUUUAUUUUUUUUACAAUAUGUCAUCUGAAGUUUAUUAAGAUGAAUUAUUUUUUGGGUGGCAUGGACUUAGCUACGGACACUAGCCCCUGCCAAGUUGUCGUUUGAAGAGGAUUGUGGUAGGUGUUCCCAUCUUUUAUGCAAACUUUUGAUACCAUUUGGAUGCAACAGCUAAGUGAGUGUAUCAGAUUAACAUAACUUGUUAAUAUUCAAACUCUCUGAUACAGCAAGAAUCUUGAGGGGCUUAAGAAUUGCUGCUCGUCUGAGCUUGUCAAUUUCAAAAGAAACUGAGACUGCAAUGCAUAAGCUUUCUUCAUCCAUUUUGAGUUUGAGUAAGGUACCUCUGAAACUACUUUAUAUGCAUAAGAUUGCAUGCUGGCUCGGUUAUUUUCCAUUUGUCUUUGGGAGGGAUAAUGUCCGAUACCACUUGUUCAAACUGACAUUCUUUGUCCAUUUAGUUCAGAAAAAUGAUGGAGAUGGACUAUAUGCUUUCUUAUGGAGCUGCUGAGGCGUCACUAUGUUUGCUGUGGAGAUUUGAUCUGAUCAGAAUUCUGUUUCCCUUUCAUGUACGUGCUCGUUUCAUAUUAUAAAAUAAUCCUUUAUCGUAAUGAAACAUAUAUUACAAAUAAUUUUUUCAUUACAAAUGAAUCCAUAGUCAUUAGGUGUAUAUCUGACACAAACUGGUAUUGUAGGCAGCAUACUUUGACCAACAGAGUGAAAACUUGAAAGGCGCUAAGAGUUCCUCGAUGUUGAUGGUAAGUAAAACACUACAAAAAGUUUCUUCAAUUUUAAUAUUUAACCAAAAGAGAUUUCUUAAAUCCAUAAUACUGGAGAGAUUGUGCAAGAAAAAAAAAAGGAUUUAUAAAAAGCAAUGAUUUGAAAACUACAGAAGGAUCUUUUUGCAUCCCAAAUCAAGUGUGGUUUGAUUCAGUAACUUUGCAAGAGCUCGAAGAGGAAUCAUUUACAGAGAUACUUCUAAGUUGGAUCCUUCAAUAUUAUGAUCUAGAAGGGUCUCAGUUUUCUUUUGUCAAAUCAAAAAUCAAAUAAUUAUUUUUUAUUAUGUUAAACUGUUAAUAAUGUUAGAACUUUUAUCACGUCUCCCAGUUAGAAUUUAUGGAACAAGAGCUAUUGAGAGUUUUCUAAUUUUUCUUCCACGAUAGUUUUGUGUGUGCUUGUGGUAUUUGUUUUUGUAUUACUCAAAUGUAGGGAUCUAGUCUUCGACUCUUUUUCAUUUGAUGUGGAGCCAAGUUAAUUUAUGCCCAACCCAGCAAUUUAGUUAGAUUUUGAUUUUUCUUUCUUUUUGAACAGAAAUUAUUCUCGAAUAUGGAUAAAGUGGUUAGCUGUGAUCGGCCUGGUCACUGCUCUUUAUGGUGAGAUAAACGUUUAUUGUUUCUGGUAGAUUAUAAUAUCCAACACAUCGUGGCAUUUCAUUUUAUUUAUUUUUAUAAACUUGGUUCUGAGCACUAGUUUAAAUUUUUUUAACCAGUUUAUAUGACAAUGAGCGUAUGCUAGCUGUGCCCUGUGCCUUGCACCUAGUCACAUUGGGAAUUCAGUCUUUUAUAAAUAGUUGGGUUUCAGGUUUCUAUAUGUAAUGCAGAUGCCACUGCUGAUUAAUUGUCUUUAUUACAGGGUCGGACUGUUGGCAUUUCACCUGGCGCUAGUCAAUAAUCCACAAGAUGCUCUUGUAGUGUUGACUUUUGCUUCCGUUCUGUAUCAUGAAGAAUGGGAAGAAGGUGUUAAAUUUUCCAGAGACAAUGCUGCGUCGAUAGUUAAAUAUGUACCUGAGAUCUCAGGCUCAUGUGGAUUUAAAUCAGAGGAAGAACUUGCAAAACAAGUUUCCAAGUUAGCUUCUUUUAUGCUAGAUUAUAUUGCCGCUUUAGCUGCAACAAAAGAUCCUGAUGAAUCAAUGUCGAGAUAUCCUGUUUUGCCAUUCUCUGAGUUGGUAAGUACGUCUAAUUGAUAUUCAAUUCCUGAGCUGGAAUUUGAUGCGUCUCUCAUGUCACUUAUCUGCAUUUUUCUCAUCCCAUCAUGAAACGCUGUUGUUAUGGAAUUUGGUAUUAAUAUUCAACCGCAUUGCACGAUUUUUAUAUGAAUUUUUGUUCCCUUUUACUGUUUUACCAUAUCAUGCCUUGAUUUUGUAUCACAGGAGUAUGUCACAAAUCCUUGGACUAUAGACUAAGUGUUACCCUUUACAGUUUUACCAUAUCACGCCUACUAUGUGCUGUUACUGUCAAAUCCCAUUUAGCAGUUAAUUUUAAAAUAUUUGUUUUUGUGCUUGUAUAAAGUUUUUCUUUGGUUGGAGUACUUAUAUAUUGUUUCAUAUGUGCCUAAUUCGAUUAAAACAAAUGUGAUUCGUUCUCAGGCCUUUUUACCUAAGAAUAUGGCUAAACAUGUUGCUGCAAUUGUUGAAGUCCUGACCAACGACAUCGAAUAUUACAAUCAAGGAAGAAAGAAUUUUGAGAUUGAUUACUACUCACUUGGGAAAGGUCAUAUGCGCGAGAUUAGGUUUAUUUUAGGAAAAGUUAUUCUAGAAACCAUGGACAGUGGGAUUUUGAGAGCAAAGGAAGUCGUUAAGGGGAAGGAGGACAACUACCACCUGCAGCAGGAUAUCAUUGACAAAAAUUUCACUAAGGGUAGAAAACGUGCAACUGAUGCCCCCGAAAUAAAACAAGAGUUGUCCAAGAAACAUAGGGUGAAAGUAGUUUUUGAUCCAGAUAUGGCUACCGAUAAUCAAGAGGUUGUCGAAACAACUCAAUCACCACAGAAGGAGUUGAUUUCAGUUCUGGGAAAUAUGUUAGAGAAGAAAAAACGUCAGUUACCAGAAGAGGUGAUUGAGAAAAAGCAAGAGCUUUCUGAGAAUGAUAAGUUCCAGAUGAAGGAGAAGAAGAAUACUAAGAAGUGUAAUUCAAGUCAGGAGGAGACUAUUAAGCUGGAAACUAUGUUAGAGCAGAGAGGGUAUCCUGUAACACGGAAAGUAAUCCAUGAGAAGGUUACAGAACUCAGACAAGAAACAGAUGAGGAGAGAGGCAGUCCACCUCCCCUAUCUUGUAUUUUCAGCAGGGGUGUUGAGGAGAUUCAGAAACGCAAACAAGUAGCAGAAAAGCCAAUAUCCAGUCUCCGUCGACUAUCUAGUCUCUUCAAGUGAAACUAUUGUCGUAAACUAACAAAAAUGACAUGUAUGUUUAUUGUGCCUUCCCCUCUCUCCCUCCCUCUCUCUCACCCACAGUUUUAAUGAAUAAUUCUUCCUUUUCUUUCUGCAUUGCAGGUGUAUCCAUAAAAAGUCCAAGGAGCUGGAGGAAAAGUCCUCAGACAUACCCUCAGGUUUUGCACAUUGUAACAUUUUGCUUCCCCGUCCUCAUUUCCCUUUCAUUUAUCGGUUUUAACAAUUUUGGCCUUAGGCAUUACGAAAUCAUGUUGGUUAAGGACCAGUGUGAAAUAGUUUGUGCUACAAAAUUUGUAUUUAUUUAAUGAUUCUUUCGAGGUUCAAGGAUCGUCUUUUGGAUGCGUAUGGGUGACCCUUAACAAUGUUGGAAAGCUUUAGGUAUCGCCAAUAUUUUUUCUACUCUGCACAGCCCUGUUUAAUUUCGGUUCGAUUGCAUGAAUCAAAGGAGGAUCAAUCGACAAAAAAGAAUGUGUUUGCAGGAGAGAAGGCUGGUGUGUAAAACUCAUUUUGCUUUUGAAAUUUAACUUCAAAUGGCUGGAUCUCAUGUUUGCAAAUUGAGUAACAUUUGAGGUAUCGAAAUAAAUGUUCCAACUUUGGAUUCUGACUUGUGUAGUUAUUUUGUAAUAGACCUGGCAAUUUUAUGCACAACACAUUAACUCAAAAUGAAACAACAUAGAAAAAAUAAGUUUUGGAUCGGGAUUAAAAGGUCAGGUGUUUUAUCGGGUCAACCCAUUAAGCACUCGUUAAAUCACAAGUUGAUUCAAGUCUACUUGUUGUUAAUGUUUAAUAAUUUAGUAUGAAGUUUUAUUUAUUUGAUUAUAUAUUGAAGUAAUAUAUUGUCCUUAACGGGUAUAAUGGGUUGGAUUAAUUUUAACGGUUCGGCUUAGGGUUUGAAGUUUAAAACAUGUCACUAUAACAUAUUUGACAUAACCCGAUCCAUUACGAUAACAAGUUUGACACAAAAACUACAUGAACACAACAAACAUGACCUGUUUGUUACGUCUAUUCAUAGUGAUUGAACUAUUUCACGUUGUGCCCCUCAAAUUAUUUCUUUUUUCUUUUUUAUUUACAAAAUCUAUACUAAACUAAUCUAAAUUAUAUGGAUUUUUUUUAUACGACAACAUAUUUACAUUAAGGUUUAAUAGAAUAAAUUGGAAUCUAGUUCUUCAUUUACCAAAUUCAAACUAAAAUCUAUCACUUAUAAAUGAAGAAAAAUUUGAACUUAAUUGCACAAAUUAAAAAGACAAUAUUCCAUUUCAACGGUUCCAAUUUGCCAAAAUUUAUGUUACUUCGCAUGUAGGCCCACCGGUACAGUAAUGCGGGGCCACAUGGAAUAAUAAAAAAAAUCAGUACGCUCUCAAUCUCUUAUUUCGCUAUUAAUUGUUUGGUUAAUAUUUGUUUUAACGCUUUCACUAUUAUGUUAUCUUGUUACCUAUUUCCCCUAUUUUGUCUUGGAUUUCAUAUUAAUGGAAAGUAUUUAAUGUGCCACCAAAAUGUUCACAUCAUAAUUUCUUAUAGCUCAUUCAUUAAUCUGAGCAAGAUACGAAAAACUAACGUCAUUGCUGACACACUCUUUAAUACAGUUGGGUUUCAUCUCAGCUACAAUAGUAGAGCCCUUUUGCAAUGAUCUCGUGUGUCAGCAAUUAUGGCAGUUGUUCAAACUUCAUUAAAUGUAAUUUUGUCUACCAAAUCGUUAUAAUGUUAAUUGUCCAAAUUAAUCUAGCAAAAAUUACCGUUAACGCUUUUACAAGCAUUUCUCGCGGUCUCUUAAGUUAUUCAUGCUCCUACAAACCUUCCCGCGAUUCUUCUCACUCUCCCCCGUUUUGUCGCGAGAGUACAUUGAGAACGUAAAUAACGUUCUAAUAAAAGAAACACUCGCAUUAGCUGUUUAGGAUCGUAAAUUUCAUAAUCAAAUCACAUAAAACAAUCACGCUACCUUUGCAAUUAGAAACUUUUGCCCAGUAGACAUUUAAGCAAUGUUAAAUAUUGUAAUUUGGGAAUAAAUACAAAUUUAUAUUUAAACAAGAAAAUAUUCUGUCCACUCAGCAAAUAAGAAGUCACACAUAAAUUUGGUUAGAUGCUAAAAUAUCCAAAAUUUAUUAAUCUUCUAAAUAUAACCAAUCUAAUUAGGUAACCAUUAUCCUAAUUUGAUUUAAUAUUACCCAAAAAAAAAAUCGAAGGAUCCGGUGGGCAGGAGCGCAUAGGAUUUUUGAGUCCAACCCCCAAUCAUUGGAUAAUUGAUUAAAAAAAAAAAAAAAAAAAAAAAAAAAAAAGCGAAAAGAAUUUGAUUAAUUUGAAUCCCACAGGCCAACACCACACGCGAAGGUGACCGUUGUUAGGACAUAGGGGUAUUACAUAGAAAGUCAUCUCAAUCCGCAUGAUCCAACGGUCACUUUUCACUAGCCGUUGUAUUUGAAAAAAGCAGAAGGGUAUUUUUUGGGGUCCUCUCUCUCUCUCUCUCUCUCUCUCUCUGGAGACAAAUACCCACUGAUUUGCCACUUUAUUAUGUAGCUCAGCUCUGUCUUUAUUUCUACUACUACUCACUGUAUUUUGCAGAGAUUUCAGUCCCUCUCUCUCUCUCUUUCUCUCUCUUUCUCUCUCUCUCUAGAUGCUCUCUUGGGGAGAAGAAAUUUAGGGUGACUCAGAAUUCUUAGCCUCUUUGCUCACUUGGGUUUGAUUUGGAUUGAUUGAUUUUGAUUGUUCCUUCAGGAAAUCAUAAGCUUAAAAUGGUUAUUUCUGAUGAGAACCGUUCUAAUCUGAUCAGACCCACAAAUAUGCAAGGUGAAUGAAGUCACUGAAAUGGGGUUGAUUUUUUAAAUUCUGGGCAUCUGGAUUUUGAGAUUUUGAUGAUGAAAAUUUCAAAAGAUUCUGACUUUUUUUCGCUUUUCGAACGAAAUGUAGGACUAGAGGUGGGUACCGGCAAGCUUGGACAGCAACAGAUUAGGCAGACCAGGAGGGCUUUAGGAGUCAUUAAUCAGAGCUUGUUAGGAGCUCCAGCAUACCCUUGUGUUGUUAACAAGAGACCCUUUACACAGUAAUUUUCAAACACUUUUUCGCCUUUCGAAUUUUUCAUCUUUCACGGGCAUGGUUUCUUGAAUUUUAUUUAUUUAUUUAGUUUUUUGUUUUUUGUUAAUCUCAGAAAACAUGAAGUUUAUGAGAAGAAGCAGGCAGAUCCAGCGCACAGACCAAUCACCAGGUUUGAAUUUUACCCUUCUAUUGUUUUUUCAUUUUUUAUUUCAAUUGUUGGGUUAUGAAAUUCAAAAUUUUGAUCUUUAGAUCUUAAACCAACAUGAAACUCAAAUUUUUAAGACGUAUUUAACCAAAAUUUGAUGUUGAUUUGCGCUUUUUACAGGAAGUUUGCUGCACAAAUUAGCAAUCAGCCAUCUUGUUUCGAGGUACCGCUAUCCGCAUCCAGAUUGAUUUUUAACUUUUCUUAUCUGUUUUACCUUAUUUGAUUGAUGGGGUUGGAGCGAUGUAUAUCAUCAGGAAGUCAAGAUCCCCAAGGUGCCAAACAAAGCAGAUGAAACCACCAACUCAGCUGGUUUUGGAGAUUGCAUUAGUAUAUUCGUAGACGAAGAAUUCAAGUCCCCUGAAGGCCAAGCAGAAGCAAUGACGGAGGACGCGGAGCCCAUGUUCUUAGAGCAAGAAGAAUCAACGCUGGAAGAAGCAAAUGAUACGGUAUAUCUCUUUGUAAAACAUGUCAAGUUUUUGGAUUGUGUUUUGUUGGAAAACCCCAAUUUUCUGAUUUCACAUAAAAAUUUGAUCUUUUAGAAAGAGGUUGAAAUGGAGGACAUUGUGGAAGAGCCUCUUGUGGAUAUUGACGGUGGCGAUUUGAAGAAUCCGCUUGCAGUUGUAGACUAUGUUGAGGAUCUCUAUGCUUACUAUAGGAGAAUGGAGGUGAAAAUUGCUCACUGUUUUGUUACUGAACAAUUAGAUAUAGCAAAUUCAUUGUCAAAUGAUCAUAGAUAUGAAAUUAUUCAAAUGUCACGAGAUAUAUGACCUGAUUGAUUCGCGCGAAAGCGCGCUGAAGAAGUUCUUUGCGCGCCGCGAAGAACUUGCUACGUGCCUGUACUGAUUUAGUAAAUUACCUGUCACAUUUAGAGUCGCAUAUCUCGAUUCUCGAAUGACAAGUAAAUCUGUUGUGGAUCUCUUUCCAUGGCCAUUACAGAAUACCAAUAUCUGCAAAUGGAAAGCAUUUAUGUCAGGUCUUAAAUUUUCGUCUAACAAAUUGUUUGGCAUUUGCAUUUUAAUCGACAUCAGAACAUUUUCUGUAAAAUGUUUGUACAUUUUUGUCACAGAGAAUUUGAUUUGCUUCCUAUUUAGCAAAAACCUGAAGUUUUCCUUUUUCGACGAAAAACAAAAGUGGGAAAACAUCCAUUUCAACCGAAGUGUGACUAACUUAACCAACAUUCAUAUUUGCAGGGUUUUAGCUGUGCCCCACCUAACUAUUUGGAGCAACAAUGUGACAUCAAUGAGAAGAUGAGGGCUAUACUAAUUGACUGGCUUAUUGAGGUAUACUUUUCUUUCCUAAAUCGAUCAAUUUUCCGAAAAUGGCAAAUGCUUUCUCUUGAUUAAUCAUCAAUGCAGUUCGUUUCAAUCAACCUCUUUUACAAUUACAAAUGACUGAUCUGUUUAUUCGAAUCAACAGGUGCACGACAAGUUUGAGCUACUGAAGGAGACAUUGUUUCUUACUGUGAACCUUAUAGACAGAUUUUUAUCCCAGCAUACGGUUGUAAGAAAGAAACUUCAGUUGGUUGGUCUGGUUGCCAUGCUUUUAGCAUGCAAAUAUGAGGAGGUUUCUGUUCCCAUCGUCGGGGAUUUGAUUCUUAUAUCGGAUAAAGCUUACACAAGGAAUGAUGUCCUGGAAAUGGUAAUUCAUUGUUCUUUCUUGGGCGAGGGCGAUUAUGCUUAACUUGUUGAAGUUGUAGUAGUUCUAAUUGUCCUUCCCCUUCUGCUGCAGGAGAACCUGAUGCUCAACACAUUGCAGUUUAACAUGUCAGUUCCAACGCCGUAUGUUUUCAUGAAUAGAUUCCUCAAGGCUGCUCAAUGCGACAAGAAGGUCAGUAGUGAUUCAUCGAAGAUCAAAACAUUUUUCUCACGCCAGCGAGAUUCUGAUUCCUUUUUCUUUAAUGUCAUCAAAACAGAUUGAACUCCUAUCGUUCUUCUUAAUCGAGCUCUCUCUCGUGGAGUACCAAAUGCUUAAGUUUCCACCAUCCCUGUUAGCUGCUGCUGCAGUCUACGCUGCUCAAUGCACUCUUCACGGGUUCAAGCAAUGGAGCAGCACCUGCGAGUGGCACACAAACUACUCAGAAGAACAGCUCUUGUGAGUACUUUCACUUAUUAGUUUCUCCCAUCUAUAAAACAAUAACUAAAUCUUAAUCAGUCGAAGAGUUUACUAAUAACUCAGUAAUUUGAUGGUAACAGAGAAUGCUCAAGUUUGAUGGUGGGAUUCCACCAGAAGGCGUCAACGGGAAGGCUGACAGGGGUGCACAGGAAGUACAGUACAUCCAAGUUUAGCUACAUUGCAAAUUCAGAACCAGCGAAGUGUCUGGUGCAGAAUCAACAACUAUAGCAGGCCAUACUCUCACUAACAAACAUUACAUAUGAUGACUUUGUUAAUUGGGUAAUUUGGGAAGAAGAAGAAGAUUAAUGCACUUAAUAAUUCAGCAACUGUGGUUGCACACCUAGGAAAGUUGGGUUACCCUAGAUUUCUAGGAUUUGCAGCAGCCUCAAGUUGUUUGCUUGAGAAAGCAGAUUAGUGUGUUCUAAUUGAACAUGCUCCAUUUUUCAUUUCAAAUUUUUACUUUGAACUUCAAAUAAAUUGAUGACACAAAUGGAUUUCAUUUUCUCAAUUGUUGUUGCUCAUGGUUUAUGUUUGAACUUUUUUCGAUAGUUGUUGAUAAUAACAUCUUCUAUAGAGAGCAAUUUACUAACGCUUUUCGAAAGUUAUCAUGAAUUUUGUGCCGGUAAAAAUAUAGAAGACAAAAAAAAUGGAUAGUAACUAUUUUGGACCGCUAUUGUAAAGGGUUAAAAUAUUAGAAAUUUUAUCCCACCUUACAUUUCCGUUUUUAUAUAAUAUCAAAAUACCAAUUUGUCCUUGUAAAGGGUUAAAAUAUCCAAACAUUUCUACAUGGCUCACUAUUCUUUGCAAAGUGCUUGUAUCUUCCAAAAACUAACCUACAUUGACUUAUGAGCCGCCGCAACUUAUACUAUUCAGAAUUUGAGUACAAGUCCAGUACCUGCAAGCCACGUCGCUUCACUUAGGGCUGGUUUGGUAUUGCUGUGCUUUGAAAAAAAGCUGCUGUGAGAAUAAGCGGCUGUGCUGUGAGAAUAAGCGGCUGUGAAAUAAAGCCAGUAGAGUGUUUGGUAAACUUUUUUGUGAAAGUGCUUUUGGAAAAAAAAGUAGGAUGAUAGUGUGUCUUUUCAUUAAAGGAGCACUGUAGCUCCGUGUGCUUUGAAAAAACUGGCUUUUUUUCAAAGCAACAAAUAGCAGCUUCAGCUUUUCCUUUGAUUUUCAGCUUAUUCUCACAGCAGCUUCCAAAAUAAGCCAUUUUUUUUCAGUUUACCAAACACAAAAAUGACCCUCAGCUUUUUUUCACAGUGGCUUUUUUUAAAAUCACCUCAAUCCCAAACGGGGC